rnacentral:rRNA from 1 species
AGAUUGAACGCUGGCGGCAUGCCUAACACAUGCAAGUCGAACGGGAGUAGCAAUACUCUAGUGGCGGACGGGUGAGGAAUACGUAGGAAUUUGCCCUUAAGUGGGGGAUAACCCGGGGAAACCCGGAUUAAUACCGCAUGACCUCGAAAGAGCAAAGUGGGGGAUCGCAAGACCUCACGCUUUUGGAGAAGCCUACGUCGGAUUAGCUAGUUGGUGAGGUAAUGGCUCACCAAGGCGACGAUCCGUAACUGGUCUGAGAGGAUGAUCAGUCACACCGGAACUGAGACACGGUCCGGACUCCUACGGGAGGCAGCAGUGGGGAAUAUUGGACAAUGGGCGCAAGCCUGAUCCAGCAAUGCCGCGUGUGUGAAGAAGGCCUUCGGGUUGUAAGCUACGUUUAAGUUAGGAAGAAAACGUCGACUACUAACACAGUAGAGUCUUAGACGUACCGACAGAAUAAGACACCGACUAACUCU